rnacentral:rRNA from 1 species
GAUGAACGCUAGCUACAGGCUUAACACAUGCAAGUCGAGGGGAAACGGCAUCGAAAGCUUGCUUUUGAUGGGCGUCGACCGGCGCACGGGUGAGUAACGCGUAUCCAACCUGCCCAUCACUUGGGAAUAACCUUGCGAAAGUAAGACUAAUGCCCAAUGACAUCCCACGAAGGCAUCCGAAUGGGAUUAAAGAUUUAUCGGUGAUGGAUGGGGAUGCGUCUGAUUAGCUUGUUGGCGGGGUGACGGCCCACCAAGGCAACGAUCAGUAGGGGUUCUGAGAGGAAGGUCCCCCACAUUGGAACUGAGACACGGUCCAAACUCCUACGGGAGGCAGCAGUGAGGAAUAUUGGUCAAUGGGCGAGAGCCUGAACCAGCCAAGUAGCGUGCAGGAUGACGGCCCUAUGGGUUGUAAACUGCUUUUGAAGGGAAUAAAGUGGGUCACGUGUGACUUUUUGCAUGUACCUUAUGAAUAAGGACCGGCUAAUUCCGUG